UACGUAGGGAGCAAGCGUUGUCCGGAAUCAUUGGGCGUAAAGCGCGCGUAGGCGGCUUUGUAAGUUAGAGGUGAAAGCCCGGAGCUCAACUCCGGAACUGCCUUUAAGACUGCAUCGCUUGAAUCCAGGAGAGGUGAGUGGAAUUCCGAGUGUAGAGGUGAAAUGCGUAGAUAUUGGAAGGAACACCAGUGGCGAAGGCGGCCACCUGGACAAACACUGACACUGAGGCACGAAAGCGUGGGUAGCGAACAGG
rnacentral:rRNA from 1 species